UACGUAGGGGGCAAGCGUUGUCCGGAUUUAUUGGGCGUAAAGAGCGUGUAGGCGGCUAGGUAGGUCCGUUGUGAAAACUCGAGGCUCAACCUCGAGACGCCGAUGGAAACCAUCUAGCUAGAAUCCGGAAGAGGAGAGUGGAAUUCCUGGUGUAGCGGUGAAAUGCGCAGAUAUCAGGAGGAACACCAAUGGCGAAGGCAGCUCGCUGGGACGGUACUGACGCUGAGACGCGAAAGCGUGGGGAGCAAACAGG
rnacentral:rRNA from 1 species